AGAGUUUGAUCCUGGCUCAGGACGAACGUUGGCGGCGUGUCUAAGACAUGCAAGUCGAAGGGAUCGGUUACUCUUCGGAUUAGCGGGAACCGGCAAACGGGUGAGUAACACACUGGUAACCUACCUGCGAGACGGGGAUAGCCCAUCGAAAGAUGGAUUAAUACCCGAUAGUCAUGGGGGGACAUAAGUCGUUCCCAUGUAAAUACUUUUUGGCCCGCAGAGGGGCCUAUGGCUGAUUAGCUAGUUGGUGGGGUAAAGGCCUACCAAGGCUACGAUCAGUAGCAGGCGUGAGAGCGUGACCUGCCUCACUGGGACUGAGACACUGCCCAGACUCCUACGGGAGGCUGCAGUCAAGAAUAUUCCACAAUGGACGAAAGUCUGAUGGAGCGACGCCGCGUGCAGGAAGACGCCCUUCGGGGUGUAAACUGCUUUUCUAAGGGAAGAAUUUGGGACGGUACCUUAGGAAUAAGAGGGUGCUAACUCUGUGCCAGCAGCAGCGGUAAUACAAAGCCCUCAAACGUUGUCCGGAUUCAUUGGGUGUAAAGGGUCCGUAGGCGGCUUGGUAAGUUAAUGGUCAAAUUCUGAGGCUUAACUUCAGAACUGCCAUUAAUACUGUCAAGCUAGAGACCGGGAGAGGCAAGCGGAACUGUCGGUGUAGUCGUAAUAAGCGCUGAUAUCGACAGGAACACCAAAGGCGACGGCAGCUUGCUAGAACGUGUCUGACGCUCAGCGACGACAGCGUGGGUAGCGAAUGCGAUUAGAUACCCUAGUAGUCCACGCGCUAAACGAUGUGCCCUAGGUAUUGACGAGUAUCGACCCUCUCAGUGCCGUUCAAAAAAGCUAACGCGUUAAGUGCACCGACUGCGGAGUACGGCCGCAUGGCUAAAACUCAAAGAGAUAGACGGGGAUCCGCACAAGCGGUGAUCAUGCUGUUUAAUUCGACGAUACGCGAGGAACCUCACCAAGACUUGACAUAUAGCUGCAAGCUCUUAGAAAUAAGAGCCUCCUUCGAGGGUGCUAUACAGGUGCUGCAUGGUUGCCGUCAGCUCGUGCCGUGAGGUGUACCGUUAAGUCGGGUAACGAGCGCAACCCUCGCUGUGUGUUAAAUGUACACGCAGGACUGCCUGGGUAACCAGGAGGAAGGCGAGGACGACGUCAAAUCAGCAUGGCCCUUACGUCUUGGGCAACACGCAUGAUACAAUGGCCGGUACAAAGGGUAGCCAAACCGCGAGGUGGAGCCAAUCCCAAAAAAUCGGUCUCAGUUCAGAUUGUAGGCUGCAAUUCGCCUACAUGAAGUUGGAAUCGCUAGUAACCGCGAAUCAGAACGUCGCGGUGAAUACGUUCUCGGGUCUUGUACUCACCGCCCGUCACACCACGAAAGUUGGCAGUACCCGAAGGCUCUCGCAAGAGGGACGAAGGUAAGGUCAGUGAUCAGGGUGAAGUCGUAACAAGGUAGCCGUA
rnacentral:rRNA from 1 species